rnacentral:rRNA from 1 species
AUUGAACGCUGGCGGCAGGCUUAACACAUGCAAGUCGAGCGGAGAUGAGGUGCUUGCACCUUAUCUUAGCGGCGGACGGGUGAGUAAUGCUUAGGAAUCUGCCUAUUAGUGGGGGACAACAUUCCGAAAGGAAUGCUAAUACCGCAUACGUCCUACGGGAGAAAGCAGGGGAUCUUCGGACCUUGCGCUAAUAGAUGAGCCUAAGUCGGAUUAGCUAGUUGGUGGGGUAAAGGCCUACCAAGGCGACGAUCUGUAGCGGGUCUGAGAGGAUGAUCCGCCACACUGGGACUGAGACACGGCCCGGACUCCUACGGGAGGCAGCAGUGGGGAAUAUUGGACAAUGGGGGGAACCCUGAUCCAGCCAUGCCGCGUGUGUGAAGAGGGCCUUAUGGUUGUAAAGCACUUUAAGCGAGGAGGAGGCUACUGAGACUAAUACUCUUGGAUAGUGGACGUUACUCGCAGAAUAAGCACCGACUAACUCUGUGCCAGCAGCCGCCGUAACAC